GAAGAACCGGAUGGGAACGCCCUCAGACGCCUGUGGAGCAGAACACAUUGGAAAUGGCCUACAUGAAGGAACAAAGCCAGUCCAAAUGGCUGAAAGCUGUAGAAGGAAGCUGCUACCAACACAACUCUGAACUUCCUCAUUUGACAAGCUUGAGAGGAGGGCCUCAGAGCCCUCCACUUGCAGUACUGCAGAUCACACCAAGCUGUGAGCAGAGAAAUUGACUAUCAGCUCUGGGUGAAAACCCUUACCACAUAAUUCGAA